AUGUUGGUUAAGUCCCGCAACGAGCGCAACCCUUAUCAUUAGUUUGCUACGCAAGGGCACUCUAAUGAGACUGCCGGUGACAAACCGGAGGAAGUGGGGAUGACGUCAAGUCCUCAUGGCCCUUAUGGGUAGGGCUUCACACGUCAUACAAUGGUCGGUACAGAGGGGUUUGCCAAGCCGCGAGGCGGAGCCAAUCCCACAAAGCCGAUCGUAGUCCGGAUUGUUCUCUGCAACUCGAGAGCAUGAAGUCGGAAUCGCUAGUAAUCGCAGGUCAGCAUACUGCGGUGAAUACGUUCCCGGGUCUU
rnacentral:rRNA from 1 species